rnacentral:lncRNA from 1 species
UUAUAGACUUCUUUUGACAUAAUAUUAAUUUCAGAUCUAUGGUCAAUGAGAGCAAUUACUAGUUCUAUCAAGUCUUCCAUUUUUACUAAAGUCUUUGUGGUGGCUCUUGCCCAAUGUCCCUUGAUAUAGUAUCCAAGGCCCUUGUCAUCAUCUUUAUAUUCAUCCAAAUCAAAUUAUCCCUUUUUAUAUUCAAUUCAUGUUCCUCUUCUUCAGUCAAGAUUGUAUCUUAAGCAUUAGAUAUAGCAAAUUCUCCUAUUAAUUGCAUCUUUCGCUUAAUAGUAUCUAUGAUGACUUCAUGAAAUUCUC